CCAGACUCCUACGGGAGGCAGCAGUGAGGAAUAUUGGUCAAUGGGCGAGAGCCUGAACCAGCCAAGUCGCGUGAAGGACGACGGUUCUAUGGAUUGUAAACUUCUUUUGUAGAGGAAUAAUGGCAGCUACGUGUAGCUGAGAUGCAUGUACUCUACGAAUAAGUAUCGGCUAACUCCGUGCCAGCAGCCGCGGUAAUACGGAGGAUACGAGCGUUAUCCGGAAUUAUUGGGUUUAAAGGGUGCGUAGGUGGCGUAUUAAGUCAGUGGUGAAAAGCUGCAGCUCAACUGUAGUCUUGCCGUUGAAACUGAUAUGCUAGAGAGGAGACGAGGUAUGCGGAAUGUGUGGUGUAGCGGUGAAAUGCAUAGAUAUCACACAGAACGCCGAUUGCGAAGGCAGCGUACCAGGCUCCGUCUGACACUGAAGCACGAAAGCGUGGGGAUCAAACAGGAUUAGAUACCCUGGUAGUCCACGCAGUAAACGAUGAAUACUAGAUUUUUGCGAUAUACUGUAAGAGUCUAAGCGAAAGCGAUAAGUAUUCCACCUGGGGAGUACGCCGGCAACGGUGAAACUCAAAGGAAUUGACGGGGCCCGCACAAG
rnacentral:rRNA from 1 species